rnacentral:rRNA from 1 species
CCUACGGGAGGCAGCAGUGAGGAAUAUUGGUCAAUGGACGAGAGCCUGAACCAGCCAAGUCGCGUGAAGGAUGACGGCUCUAUGGUUUGUAAACUUCUUUUAUAUGGGAAUAAAGUGAGGAACGUGUUCCUUUUUGUAUGUACCAUAUGAAUAAGCAUCGGCUAACUCCGUGCCAGCAGCCGCGGUAAUACGGAGGAUGCGAGCGUUAUCCGGAUUUAUUGGGUUUAAAGGGUGCGUAGGUGGUUAAUUAAGUCAGCGGUGAAAUUUUGUGGCUCAACCAUAGAAUUGCCGUUGAAACUGGUUGACUUGAGUAUAUAUGAGGUAGGCGGAAUGCGUGGUGUAGCGGUGAAAUGCAUAGAGAUCACGCAGAACUCCGAUUGCGAAGGCAGCUUACUAAACUAUAACUGACACUGAAGCACGAAAGCGUGGGGAGCAAACAGGAUUAGAUACCCGAGUAGUC